rnacentral:lncRNA from 1 species
GUUUAAUUCUUUUUUCUAUUUUAGGUUGAUUGAUGAGUAAGCAAAUGAUAAGACAUUGUGUUUGUGAGAUUGAGCUGUUUUCAAGUUAUUUGCUGGCUUUAGUUAAGACAAUUCUUCACAAUUUUUUGCUACAAUUGGUCGAGAUAUAGAGUUGGAAGUGAAUCACUUGCAUUUGGAGAAAAUUUUGACUUUCUUAUGGAUAACUUUGAUGGAUUGCCACAUAUUUCCAUCUCAUUGGAAUUCAACUUUUGAGAAUUUUAUUUAUUU